AUGAUCAGAAUGUGUGUGUUGUGCGUUUUAGUGAUCAUACUGAUACUUGCCCCAGGUUCCUGUAUACAAUAUGAGGUGGUGGAUGUAACUGAGGGUGGAAAUGCUAUCCUAAACUUCACAGCUUCUGGACUGACUAUUUUCUACAAAAUGCAUUGUGAAAAACAGACUAAAAUCACUUUGACUGUGAUUGGUCAAUACUGUGGCCCUGCUGAUAACUGCAGCACCAGCUCGAGAACACCUGAGGUUUCAAUAGAGACUGGCCGUCUAAUUGUACAAAAUGUCACCUACAACAGAUGCUACAGUGCAAAAACCAUACAAGGACACCGAGAGAUAUUUUAUAAUGUUACUGUCAAAAAAUUACACUUUACCAUCAGCGCAGAAAUGUCCAUCUCAAAAUUCACUACUGAAACACCCGACCAUACUUUAACCUCAGACAAUUCCUACGACACUACAUCAUCCAGUGCAGUCACAAUUAUUGCCAUUGUCGUUACUGCUGCUGCUGUGAUCUCGGUUGUUUUGUUCGUUGUCUGGUACAUACGCACACCUGCAGAGGUAUGUACCAGUGAAUGCAAAUGUUGCUGCAGUGUGAUGCUGGCAAAAGUGCCUCAUGAAGAAAUCAUCAUGGGAAACCCGGCAGCAGCCAACUCACUUCUCACAACUCUGAAUGAAACUCAACUUUAGAUGUCUGCUCCAUCUCCAACCAGGCACUUUACUGACAUCAUACAUAGAUGUCUUCCUUGAAGGAUUGAAAUGAAGGACAACAUCAGUCAAGAAAACUAUUGAACUAGUUCUGCCCUUUGGUUCAGUCAAAUCUAUAAGACUGAAUCUUUUUUGUUUGCUCAAAAUGUAAAUUAUAGAUUUUAUACAGAUAUUAAAUAUAUACAUUACAUCCACUUUUGCAUUCAGCUUGUCUUUUAGGGUUUAACAAGACCACUAGACCACUUCCUGUUCCACUGAAUUCCACUGAACACUUAUUCAAAAAAUGCACCAUGGAACAUCUGAGCUUUAUGAACGUGGGUAGUGGUGGGUUGUAAGAAAGAUAGAACCAUUUAUGUUCUUUAUUUUAAGGAUUGCACCUCUUCUAUACAGGAAACCAUCAUGUUGAUGUAAGAUCAACACAAAACAAUGAAAAAAUACAUUAAUAAUAAAAAAUAUAACUACAAUUUUAAAUGGGAAAAU
ensembl:lncRNA